UACGGGGGGGGUAAGCGUUGUUCGGAAUUACUGGGCGUAAAGGGCUCGUAGGCGGCCAACUAAGUCAGACGUGAAAUCCCUCAGCUUAACUGGGGAACUGCGUCUGAUACUGGAUGGCUAGAGGUUGGGAGAGGGAUGCGGAAUUCCAGGUGUAGCGGUGAAAUGCGUAGAUAUCUGGAGGAACACCGGUGGCGAAGGCGGCAUCCUGGACCAAUUCUGACGCUGAGGAGCGAAAGCCAGGGGAGCAAACGGG
rnacentral:rRNA from 1 species